AACCUAGCACACCUGCGGUGUGUACCUGCGGAAGGAUCAUUACCGAGUUAUACAACUCAUCAACCCCUGUGAACUUACCUACAACGUUGCUUCGGCGGGAACAGACGGCCCCGUAAAACGGGCCGCCCCCGCCAGAGGACCCCUAACUCUGUUUUUAUAAUGUUUUUCUGAGUAAACAAGCAAAUAAAUUAAAACUUUCAACAAUGGAUCU
rnacentral:misc_RNA from 1 species